AUGAAUUUCAUCAGAGAAUUCAGAUGAUUCAGAUGGUAUUGGUCAAGAAAGGAUGGCCACCAAUGUGAAAUAAGGAAGGCCUCAUGAUGUUUGGAUCCAAUUUUGCAAGAGUGAAAUGGAUGUUGCAACACUGCUACAUUACAGCCUUUGGCCAGCAACUGAUAAGCAACCCCAAAGUGUCAUUUCCAUCAAGCUCAUGGACAUGAUCUGCCAGUUGCAGCUUGAAUGUGGUGCAUCACUGAAGGCUAUAUGUGCAGCAAUUUAGCAAUCUUCAGUGUCUUCCAAGUGCCAAGACCUCUAUGGCAUUGUCAUCAAUGAGUCCUAUAAGGAAUACAGAAACCUGCGAUACCAGUUAUCUACACUGCGUCAUCUUGGGAGAUAACUGAUGGGACACACUGUCUUCUUUGUCCACAGGUACACAGAAUUUUAUUUUCUCAAU